rnacentral:rRNA from 1 species
UACGAAGGGUGCAAGCGUUAAUCGGAAUUACUGGGCGUAAAGCGUGCGUAGGUGGUCUUUUAAGUCCGUUGUGAAAGCCCUGGGCUCAACCUGGGAAUGGCAGUGGAUACUGGAAGGCUGGAGUACGGUAGAGGAGGGUGGAAUUCCCGGUGUAGCGGUGAAAUGCGUAGAGAUCGGGAAGAACAUCGGUGGCGAAAGCGCUCUACUGGACCGCAACUGACACUCAGGGACGAAAGCUAGGGGAGCGAAUGGG